rnacentral:lncRNA from 1 species
AAAACAAAAAAAAAUUUGAACGAGAAAGAUAAAUAAUUAUAAUACGUAUGAAAGAGAGAGAUAUUGUGAUUCUCAAGUUGUAUGUAUAGACGAACGGAGGAGUGAAUUUAUACGCACUGGUGCUUUGUACGAUUUUAAGAAGCUUUUAGCGUGUCGUCGAAUGACUCGGUUCGGUUUUUCCGUGUUUUACGGUUUUCCGUUCGGUUCUCGGUUUUCGAUUAUCUAUUCGGAUCGCAGGCCACGCACCCUCCCAAGCCUUCUCUGUCUCUUAAAAAAGAAAAAGAAAUGGAAGAAAGAUGAAGAAGAUUGAAAAGAAAUGAAAACAUGUUGAAAUUUACGGUGAUUAAUCAAUUUAUAGAGAAAUAAAGGGAAUUUCGUUAUUUGAAUAUAUGUAGAAUACUGUGAAUGCAUUUUACGGUUUCUGGGUAUCAAAUUAGGACCACACGCAGAAGUUUCACAUAUGCUAUAUCGGAUAAAUAAUAAGUUGCCUUUGAUUGUCCAAAUUAUUAAUAAUUGUAAGUAUAUAUGUAGAUAAUUAUGUACAUGUAAAAAUUAAUUUAUUUAAUUUAUUUGAUUUAUUCAACUUAUUCAAUUUAUUUAAUUUUUACUAGGUCACAUCGGAGAAUAUUUGUAUUUCCAUGAUCGGACAGUUUAUUUGGCUUCAGUACUAUUGAAAAUAUUUGAAAUCUGAUCAAAUCACUUGUUUACCUAUUGUUGACCACUACAUUAUUCAACUUGAAAGCUUUAAGUGGUCCUAAUUCCAUCAUCCGGGACUGUAGAACCAUUCGGACCGCGAAUUAUGCCAUUACGCAGUAAAUCUAUAUCCAACACCUCUCACGGUACAUACAUAUACAUAUGCAGUAGCUCACAAAAGUAUUUGAAUACUUAUAAAAGUACGUGAUGCAUAAAACAUUCCAAAAUUUCAUUAGCAUUGUAACUAGACACGAUUGACGUAAUUAUCUUGAUAAAAUUUGAAACCAAUCUGAAAAUGUACAUAGAAGUUACAAGAUAUUCAUUGCAAUCAUAUAUGUAUAUAUAUAUUAAAAAUUUAGUAUACAGCAUGAAUAACCAUCAAACAUGUAAUAAGCGUUAAAGAUGGUUCCAUUGUAUAUUGAGGUUUAUUAAUGUAAUGAAUGAUUGACUGUUUAUUAAAUACCUUUAUGACCUCUGCGAAAUAUAUAUUUGCACUAAAUGUCUUUUAACUUUCAUAUACAUAUUCAGAUUUAUAUUUAAUUUUUCAAUAUGAUUAUAAUAGUUGGAUCUCAUUAGAGUGCUGUCAAAGUGUUUUGCAUAACACACAUAAUAGAUUCAUAAAAGAUUUCUACAAGUAUCGGAAUUUUUUCGUGAGCUACUGUGCAUACACAUACAUAAUAUAUGCGUACUUUAUUGUAGAAACGCGGGUCCGAGACUUUGCGAUUCUAUUUUCGCUGAUGUGUCCGCGAAGCACAGGUUUUCCGGCGCUUUUUCUCCCAUCCUUUUCUUUCUCUCUCUCUCUCUUUCUCUCUCUAUUCGUUCUCGUCUCGUAAUCGUCACCCACGCAGACAACGUCUCUUUCUAUGGCUAUCCACCUGUUUUUCCCUGUUUGUUUCUCCCAUUGUUAUAUAAUUCCCUCUCGCGCAAGGUGUUUCCGGUUUUUCCGGAUAAACCGAGGGCAAAUAAUCCACCAGUAAAAAUGCGUAAAAUAUAUUUGCAGAAAAUUAUAUAUACACAUGUCAAAUUUAACUGUAAACAUUUUAUCGCGAAGUUUUAGGUUUCUUUUCUUUUAUUAUGUACGCUACCAGACAGAAAUUUGGUAUCAUUUUUCUUCUAAUUGCAAUUAUGUAUAUCGAAUUUUCUGCUAAUCUUCUAAUUAAUUUGAAAUUAGCAGCUUCUAAACUGCGGAUUUCUAUGAAUACAACUAAAUAAUUAUUAUUUAUUUCUUUUAUAUAGAUCUAUUUUAAUGUUAUAGGUCGUUGAAUCUGUCCACAAAUUGGCUACAAUAUUGCAAUAAAUUAAACUAAUAAAAAGCGGAUGUUAAUAUCAGUGAUCUUAAACAAGAAAAAUAGCAGCGUUGAAGAUAAUAUUUAAAAGGAUCUUUUUAUCAUCAUAGGAUAUUAUUAAACAUGCUCAAACUAUGCAAUCAUCACCAAAAAACUGUUUUUAUAUAUUUUCAUUAUCAAUGAAAUUACAAGUGGAACGCCCGGUAUAUAAUUUUCCUACAAUAUUAUCAUAUUUCUUACUUUCAUGUUUUCCUAUUUUUUCUUUCUUUCUUUUGCUUAACCGCCCAAUUUCAUCUUGGCCAUUUCACGCUUGUUGUCUUCCUCCUCCGUUCAUUUCGAUUUUCCCGUUCACAGCUCUGCACAGUGGCCCGCCGACGUCACAAAGUGCCAACCGCGAGGCUCGUUUAUUUAUAAGCAAAAAGUAGAGCGACCAGAACGCGAGAAAGAGUGGCUCUCAUUGAGUCGCCGAGAUGACGAUUCGCCGAAUUGAACUUGCUCUCUCCUAUAUGACGGACAAUUUAGCUUACGGGAUGAAGGGACAAAUGGAAGACUAAAAAUCAUAGUGGUUCUGUAGAGAAAGAAAAGAAAAGAGUAAACAAAGAAGAAAAGGAAGAUAAAGGAUCGAGAUGAAAAACGAAACAAGUUCAUUUGUGUUCGUGUGUAUAUAGAAAAUACUAUGUACAAUCUAGUCUUUAUAAGAAAACGAGAGGAAAAGAUAAAAAAUGGAGUUAGAAGGAAAAAAACGAGGGAAGACGGAGAAGGGCAACGACUUGAGAGCAGAGUAAUAGCAGUUUCCUCGGACGAACGUUUGUCGAGUAUUGUUGUGUUUAAAACUAUACAGAGUGCCCCAAGUUUUUCUACAAAACAAAAAUGUUCUACGAGCAAAACUAAAAAAAAGCCAUAAAUAUAGGUUAUUUAAAAUUAAAAAGUUGUAAUAAAAAUUUUAAUUUUAUUUCAUCUCAAUGAACGAAUUAACUGUUUCUAUCAGUUCACCACAUGUACUACUAUUUGAUUGAUAUAUCUUUCUUCUUUAAAGUUAUUCAUAUCUAAAAGCUCAAUAGUAUGCUAUUGCAGACCAAAAUAUUAUUCUUUUUUGAGUAUUUCACAUUUCUACUAUACGUUUUUAAUGAAGCGGUAAAUGAUCUAUAUAACAUUCCUUAUUCAUAGAAUAUAUAAAAAUUAUGAACAUUGUUUUGCAUGAAAAAUCUGGAAUACUGUGUAUACAUGAUUCGCGGUCACUGUAUCAUAACACAUAUACAUGCACACGAAAUCUCUGUCUAUCCUCUAUGUUUUGCAAGAAACGAAAAGGAAACGAGAAAUAAAGAAAGCGAGAUCCAGAAGAA